CCUACGGGUGGCUGCAGUGGGGAAUAUUGCACAAUGGGGGAAACCCUGAUGCAGCGACGCCGCGUGAGUGAAGAAGUAUUUCGGUAUGUAAAGCUCUAUCAGCAGGAACGAGACAAGACGGUACCUGACUAAGAAGCCCCGGCUAACUACGUGCCAGCAGCCGCGGUAAUACGUAGGGGGCAAGCGUUAUCCGGAAUCACUGGGUGUAAAGGGAGCGUAGCCGGCUGAGCAAGCCUGAAGUGAAAGGCGGGGGCCCAAACCCUGGACUGCUUUGGGAACUGUACGGCUGGAGUGAAGAAGAGGUAAGUGGAAUUCCUAGUGUAGCGGUGAAAUGCGUAGAGAUUAGGAGGAACACCAGUGGCGAAGGCGGCUUACUGGACUGUAACUGACGUUGAGGCUCGAAAGCGUGGGGAGCAAACAGGAUUAGAUACCCGAGUAGUC
rnacentral:rRNA from 1 species